AUACGUAGGGAGCGAGCGUUGUCCGGAAUUACUGGGUGUAAAGGGAGUGUAGCGGGACUGCAAGUCAGAUGUGAAUUUAGGGGCUCAACCCCUAAACUGCAUUUGAAACUGUGGUUCUUGAGUGAAGUAGAGGUAAACGGAAUUCCUAGUGUAGCGGUGAAAUGCGUAGAUAUUAGGAGGAACAUCAGUGGCGAAGGCGGUUUACUGGGCUUUUACUGACGCUGAGGCUCGAAAGCGUGGGGAGC
rnacentral:rRNA from 1 species